rnacentral:lncRNA from 1 species
GUGGCUGAAACUUAACCCUACAAGUUACAACAGUGUUCAAGCCUAUAGUAUUAAUAAUGUUAAACGUAAGUUAAAGGAGGAAAUAAACCCGAAUUCUCGCGGUCCUCAUUUCCAAGCCUGGAAAUAAUAUUGAAAAUUUUGAAAGGUUUUUAAAUCUGGGCAACGAGUUGACAUAAAAAUUUAAUGAAGUUAAAAGAUAAGUAAACAGUUUUUUUAAACAUCAAUUAUCAGUCAAAUGGACUGUUUUACCGUGUAUGCACAUGCAUGUUAUCGUCUGACAGUGACAGACACACUGCGCGGGUCCGAGAACAUGAUCUCCAUAUUUUAAUUCAUCUGCGGAUACAGUUAUUUAACCAGAUAAGUAGCUGUUUUUUUUUGUUGUUGUUUUUUGAUACACAUUGCUAGUUUGGAUAUAAUAUUACAAAAAUACUAAUAUUUGUAUUAAGGGGUUACAAUUUUGCAUAAUAUAUUAUACUCUAUAGGGCUUCUAGGAACAUAUGCGCAGGCUAGAUCUUCAACCGUUUCUAGGCAUCAGACACUAACAUUAGAAUCUAACAUGUCUAAUGUUAGUACCUAAACCUAAUGUGUUAACUAGGUCUAGAUCUAGUCUCUACUCUAGAUUUGGAUCCACAUUAUAACACAGUAAAAACUAUUAAAUAGAUAUAGGCUUAACAUUUAAUGCUAAAAGCCUAAUCGGCCAACGUUAGGCCUGAUUGUUUGUGUGUAAGACAUAUAAGUAGUAGUUCGGGUUAUACAUGUAAUAGCUAGAACUUCACAAUUUUGUUUCCAAAAUAACGCAAGGCCUAACGAUAUAUUGGACAUGCAGCGUUGUCAAACCAAACGUAGACCAAAAGGUACAGCAUCAGUCUAAAGACAGUUUUAUUCAUGUUAGGCCUAGAUCUAUUUGUUUGUAGUAAUGUUAAACCUAGUUUUCCAACGAUUAAAUAGAAAAUAUAUUCAAUAUUACAUCUAGAGCUCUAUUAGUAUUAAUGGCAUUGAUUUUGAAUGACAUCAGCCAAUUUUCCUGUGGGCUAACUUAUGUAUCAUUAUAUAUCAAGACUUCUUGAACCUACGUGUUUUUCUGACAUCAUGAUCAUGUCAGUAGGCUUAUGUCUAAAUAACAAACAUGAAGAAAUUGUACUUGGAUUUUAAGUAUUUGUUCAGUUGUAUUUAUAGGAUUCAGAUAUACAUCUAAUAUCAGUAAUAAUAGAUUGUAACUUUUUCAUUAAAUCUCUAUCGCUUCUCACAUGUGCAUAUCGGCGUUUGUUAGCCCUAGGCUUAGGUCUAAUCUGAGCUAACGUAGUAUCUCGCGAUACUACGGUUAUGUCAUUCAUGGAAAGAAAGCGAUAAAUAUGCGUCCAGGGUUUGUGGAAGUAAUAUAAUAUGUUAUAAGUCACACCAAUAAAUUUUCAUUUAAUCUUUUAUGUAUACAGCGUACUUAAAAUCGCUCAUAAAUUUAUGAGACGUCAAAUAUACCGCAUUUUCAUUUAUCGUAAAAUCAGACUUUGUGUAUUAGAGCACAUGCGGUACAUGCAUCGUAUUACAUCGACAGUAACUGUGUAAAUCUAUUUGCUUGUGUCUGGCAGUUUGCAUUGUUAUUUCCAAAAUAAUGCAAGGUUUAAUAAUGUAUUGGACAUCCAGCACUGCCAAACCAAACGUUAACCGUAAUGUACGACAUACGUCUUAAAAACAAUUUUAUGCAUGCGAGGCCUAGAUCUAUUUGUUUGUAGUAAUGAAUACACAGGGACACAUUUCGGCGGCCAUAUUGACCACGUUUGUUAUGACGAGUAAACAAACCAGCGCGUGGCUUUUGACAAGGUUUGUAAAAUGAUUAGCAAGUGUAGUUUUAAAACAAGUUGGUUUUCAAAUCAAAACUACCAGGAAUAGCUAGAAAGGGAUUCACACCCUAGAAAAGCAAGAUGUAAACCAUGCCAAAGUUCAUUUGACAUCAGCAACAUGGGAGAAGCAGCAUUGCACAGCCAUAUGACAAUCAAUAAACAUGCAGAAAACAUGAAGGCAUAAUCAAAUAAUACUACUAUCUAUACCUUUUUCAAACCUCCUGAACAGAAAGUGCUCAUGUUAAAAAAACCAACUACCAAUGGAACUGCCACUUAUUCAACUUUCAGCAUCCCGUCAUUUGUUUCUUCUUCUGAUGUUUUAAGAUCAGCAGUUUUAUGGACUUUGAGAACUUGACUGUCAUGGUUCAUUUUAUUCAAAGGAUCAUAGAAGGUUUCAAGAGUAUGUUUCCCAACAAUGAAAUUGCCCAAAAGUCUUCAUGCGGGGAAGACAAAACAUCAUAAUAAACAAACAAACAAAAAAUUGUUGAAAGUUGCUUAAUCGAAAGCUUGCUGAAUUUCAAUACUUCCCAAGGUCACUUUAAGCUAAAUAACUUCUAGACUACUCGUGAACUUAAGGGAAUUCAAAAUUCCGGUGUCACCUGGGCAUUGUUGAUUAGUUUUUCUGCCAGAGGACAACCUGAGACUGAAGAGGAUACAAAAAUGUGUCAAAACUUGUUUGUCCUAUGUUAAGACUUCUGACAGUUUAUUCUGUUUACCAUGUUUUUUUUUAUGUCUGUUCAAUAACUGCUACACACAAUAUUGUGUUAUUUUAUGACAUAACAUCAUACUUAGCUAUACAUGGAUUAGCUCCAUAUUUCAUUUUCAUACUGAAGCAGAAAAUCACAGAAGUCUGAGUGUGACAUUCAUGCUUGCAUUUAGGAUGAAAAACUGUUAAUUCAAGAUACAUCAAAUCAGAAUUCUUAGGACAUACUACUGCAAGUAAUCUAUUUGACAAGCCAUUCCUUGUUGUCACAGACCUCAUUCAAAGAAUUUAUUGCAGAUAUCCAUGGAUGGCCCCAAUGUUAAUUUGAAAUUACAUGAUAUGUAAUCAACUGAAGCUAAUAAACAUAAUCCAAAGAGACACCUUUUGGAAGUGUAAAGCAGAUGACUGGAAAUUGGAAAAAUUCUGGCAAAGAUUCUCCAGCAAGAGCUAUUGACUUCAAAAGUGAGACUGGAUGCUCAGACUUCCACCAAAGUUUUGUAAGCACUGGUGAUUGGAGUGGAGAACAUCAGUUUAUGGAAAAGUGCUUGUACCUGCUGCCUCAUCUUAAAAUAUAUGUGAGUGUACAGAAAACUUAAUAAACUUAAUCCAAAGAGACACAUUUCGCAAGUUGAAUCUUAUGGUUUACACACAAUCCACAAUGUUUGUAGAGUAAGUGUAAAGCAGGUGACUGGAAAUUUGAUGUCCCUGCAAUUGUCUGAUUCAAGAGUUUGUAUGUUUCAAAAAGAGCAGGACAGACUGGAUACCAUAUAUUUACAUCUCCUUUCAGACAAGAAACAAUUUCAGAUGCUCUCCUCUCUUUGUCUUGUUGACAGAUCAGUGUUGAAAGGGGCUUUUCUGUAAAUAAAGAAGCUAUUACAGAAAAACAGCAGAGCAUGUUCCUUAAUACUAGGAGAGUCAUAAUUGACCACAGUAGACAUGUCAGAGGUGUUCUGAAUGUAAACAUAACUACAGAAAUGCUUACCUUUGUUGGAAAUGCAAGUCCAGAAAGCAGAAGCUACAGCAAAGUGACAAGAGAAAGGUUGAAGAAGUUGAAUUCACACUGGAAGAUCUCAAACAUAAGAAGAUUAGUCUUAAGUUUGAAAUUAAGCAGCUCCUUUCAUCAGCUGAUGAAAACUUUGAGAAAGCUGAAAAUGAAAAAAACUUUAGCCCCCUCAUAGUAGUUAAUUCCAUGAAGAAAGUUGUAAGAGAGAAGGAAGAAUCCUUUAGUCUUUCAUGAUGAAAAUUGAAGAGAAACUAUCAAACGAGAAAUGCUGAAACACUUUGACUUUUUUAUUUUUAAAUAAUUCAAUUGCAUUUGAACAUUGCUAGAUUACUGCCUUUUUCACCAUAUAAAAACAUUAUUUACCAAUAUUUGUGUAAUAUCUACAGUUGAAAAUGUAUAUGUCCAGGUGCAGUUUCUUGCAUAAUGCACAAGAAAUGGGCCUUGAAUUUAUAAAAUUGGUCAUUAAAAAGUUGUUAAAUUUCAAUUCUGCAUAGGUGCAGGAACACUAAUAAACUAAUUUGUGACUGUUACUGGACUGGACUGGACAUUGAAUUACUUUUUACCAGAAUAGAACUACAAUAUCAGAGUGAUUUAGUAAAAUUUUACGUACAGAGGUUGUUUGUUGAGAAAAGUUAAGAUGUUACUUUGGGGUGAGUUCCAAAAUUAAAGAGCAAAAAAAAAAGCAUUCUAGACAAGGAAAUUGAUAAAAUAGAAAAUCCCAAAGUUUUUAUUGCUUUUGCAAGGGAUAAGGAUGAGGAAUAUUGUUUUUACCAUUGUUUUCAAUGGAAGAAUGUCUAGUGUGUAAGGAAUAAAAUCUUGAGUAUUUAUAGCUGUAUCAGACUUGGGCCUUUAACUGUUGAUAAAGAUGGAGAAAGAAAGAAUCCCAAGGAUUUUUGUAGUAGAGGAUUGUUUAAAUAUACUGAAAGACUAUGUGUUAAUUUUGUCAUCUGCUAAUUGAUAAAACAAAGUUGGUUUUAUAGAAUAAAAGAUUCAUAAGAAAGCUUUACAAGAAUCCAUGAAGACAUAAAAAUCAGUAAUUAAAAUCUAGAACAAAGGUAGGCAUUUUUUAUUGUUUCUUGAAAAAUAUAUACUACAAUAAAAUGUUUUCAAAUCUCUUAGUACACACAAGAUCACAUAUAAAAGCAAGCUAUUGUAUUUGCUGACAUUACAUAAUCAGUAGAAAGAUCGUCUGAAGCUUCAAAGUAUUUCAUGCAGUAGUUUUUUUUUUGCAGUUCAUGAAAGAAACUAUACAGUAGGUGUAUUGAUUUGAUACAUUGAUUGUGAAGGAUUUAACUAAAACACUCAGACUUCUGUAACAGUAAUAACUUUUAUACUGGUGGUAAUAGGAAAAUUUGCUUUAUGAAUCUCAUUUUGUUAUACAAAAUGAAGGAGUGUAUUUACUCUUCUGACUGAUUUAAAUUAAUACUCACCUUUGGUUACAACAACAAUAUAACUAUUUCAAUUUUAUUGGUUUAUAAAACAGUUGGUUUGUUCUUAUUAAAGUAAUAUUAUAAAAUGUGACACUAAACAAUAUAGCUACAACUUAUUUUUCUUUUUUGAAAUUUUUGUUCAUUAAUUUCUUGGUUAAAGAGAACACCAGUGCCUUGCUAUUAACAUCACUGUUUAUAUCAUUCUGAUGUAUUUUUAUAAACUAAUUACCCUUAACAUGCCAAUAGGUAGUUCAGGCAAUCUGAUCAUACAUAGUUGAACUGGGAUAACGUUUUUAAGAUAUUGACUAAUGACUUAUGAAUGUGAAAAAAAUGUACUAUUUGAACAAAAUGAUAUGUCCAUAUAUGUGAAUAUCAUUUAGAGUAAAUAUUUUUAAUCAUUUAGGGUUUACAAAGUGAAACUUGACAACUUGAAAAUUCAGAAUUUUACUUUAAAGAAAAAUGGUAAUUUAUUUAUUUAUUUAUUUAUUUUUCAAUAAUGCAAGCUAAUUUAUUAAAUACAAAUUGCUGUGAAAUGUGUAUAAUGAAAAGUUCUAGCUUUAUAUCUAAUAUAUGAAUAUAUUUCAUAAUAGUUUAUUGAGUUUUCUUAUCUGUUUACCUUUAACUUUGAACUUCAGGUGUUUUAGAGAUUGUAAGUCUGAAAGUUUAAUCCACUGUUGUAAACAUUGUGUUUUUAUCUUAGUGUAUAUAGAUUGAGAAAUAAAUUCAAUCUCCUAAGCUGUUGAAUCUCAUGAGAUAGUACUGGGAUCACAGGCAAAGACAUUGAUAACAGUGAGGGUAACCAACCUUUGAUUUGUUUGUUUAUAGUUAAGCACAAAGCUGCACAAUGGUUUAUCUGUGCUCUGCCCACACGGGUAUCGAAACCCGGUUUCUAGUGUUGUAUGUCCACAGACAUGCUACUGUGAAUCAGCAUAUUUUAAUCAUUAUAAGUUUUUAUAUUAUGACAAUUCAUAGUCAGUCUUACUUAGACCAGUAUAUUAAAUUAUCUACAUUAUUUAUUCAGUUAAUUGUUAAUUCUACUCUGAUCAGAAGUUACAGGUAAUAAAAAAUUAGACACACAGCUGUGUCCUACUUGUAGUAAAGGAAACUUUUCAUUAUCUGAUUUUGUAUAACUACUGUAUAGUACAAUGGUUUCAAACUUUAACUGUUGUGGUAUUUUCUGGCUCACAGAUUUACCUUAGAGUAGUUAGUUAGGGCCCUUUAUCUGGAGGUUUGAGUGGGUCACAGAGUGUAUUUCUCCUUGAUCUCUGACUGGGUUCAUAACACAGAAAGAGAUAGCUAGUAUAUACAAAUGUACAAUUGAAACAAAAAUCUUUAUUAAACUCUUAAAAACAAAAUGACACAAAAAGACAAGAAUGUCUAGUAGAUAUGUAGAACUGGCAAGAGAUAUGGGAAAAACCUUUAAUAGUUUCUCUUAAUUGUUCAGUGUGCUCUCCCUUGUAAGCUAAAAUUAAGUGGAAAGUUUAAAAGGAAGUUAAAUUCAAAUAAAAAUGCUUAAACUACUUGCUUAAGCAAACCCAAACUCUCUUGGAAGCUAUGGUUUACUACAAUGUUAAAGUCACUAAAAUUAGAAGCUUUUAAUAAUUCCCAAGAAGUUUGUAAGUCACAAGAAAUACUAAAAGUCUAAAUAUAAAUCAAAACUUCUAAAAGUCUGUUUUCUCUGAGCAAACCUGGCCUGAUAUACAAAAACACCAAUAUUACAUAAAACCAGGCUUGCACAUGGCUCCACUUUGCAAGCAACUUGCACAUUUGUCCACAGUGUCUGAACAUUUUUAGGUUUGCUAAUAUGAAAAACAGUUGUUUAUCUCAUAACAUUAAGUUAUAUUUUUUAUAAGAAAACACAGAUAACUGGCAAUUCAUGUGCCCUGUGCAUUGGAGAAAGAGAUAGUUGAAUAACUUUCUUGAGUGCCUCUCUGUAUCCAAACUAAGAACUCUGAAAAUGAAAUAAUUUCAAAAAUUUACAUAUUAACUAAAGGAGGGGUUAAUGCAUGGUACAGUCCUGUACUACACUAUACAAUAUUUUACCAAUGUUAAUGGAUUUUUUAACAUGUUUUCCUUGCUUAUGAAAGUUUAGAAUACUUGUUUCAAGGUAAAUCACAGCUGGGAGGCAGCUAUAGUACACACAUUUUUUUAUUAAUAUAGGAAUCUUAAUAAAUACAUUGAUACUAAUAAGAAUAACAUUUGUGGUAAUUACUUGUAGUGAAUCUUUCAGAGAAGAGAAUUUUGAGAAUAGUAUUUCUCUCAGUUGACUGCUAUGUAUUAAUUAUUGAGGCCCAUCUUUUUACAUUUUCCUGCUUUGUACAGUAUUAGUACAGUACCAGGAAAUUUUAGGCUCAAAAUAUAAGCCUACAUGCUGUUUACUAAUGUAAAGUAGAAAAUUCUGCUGUGCAUCUGUUUAAAAUAAAAAGGCAAAAUGUACAUGUAUGGUACAAAUUAAAAUCAAAAUAUUUCAAGAUGUUGUAACCAGUUGUUUAAAAUUUUCUUUUCCACACACACUGCAUUAUAGAAAAAACACAAAAAUGAAAUGUGUUUUUUCCAGACUUUUCAAGAUUGUUCCCAAUACAGCUAACAUGUAUACUUAUCUAAAGCAUCUAGACCAAAAAUUCAUUUUAUGUUUCCUUCUUAUUUUAUUUUACAAAAUUUCCUGCAAUUUUUUUAAUAUCAAAUUGCAUUUUUUUACAUAACAUAUCUUGGAUUUUUAUUUUAUUUUUUGAACAGUUAUUAACAAAGCAAAUUGUAGCUAUGAUCACAACUGCUAGCUUGUCAUCUUCUUCUUAUCUUUGCAAAAAUUGUUCUAAAUGUAUAGCAGUUGUAUAAACAGCAAGUAUUUCAUGUAGUGAUUUGUGAGAGAGGAUGCAUUUUUAUGAUAAUUAGUUUUUAGUUAAAUACUAUAACUGUUUUACAAACUAGGACACAGAAAAACUUAACAGCAUUUUGUAUUUCCAGGAACCAUAGAAAAUUGGUAGAUUUUAUAGUUGAUUUUACUUAUUGUUUAUUUUAUUUAAGAAAAGCCCUACAAACCAAAUACCAUUGGAUUCAGUGUGAAAAACCUUAUCAAGUGCACUCCCAUGAAAGCAACCUAAAUGUAUUAUUAUUUACAGCAUAACACAUACAAAGUAGCCUCCUAUGGUAAAAAAAAGGGCUUAGCCACUGAAAUAAUAAUUGUACUAGCUCUAGCAUAACACAUACAAUUUAGUAGCCCCUAUGGUAAUUAUAUAAAAGUUUGUGAGUGAAAGUAAAGAAGUAUGUAAUAAUCUAUCAACUACAUCUGCUAUAUUCAGUGUCAGUAAGGUCUUUUCCCCAAUAACUAAGGAAUCAAGCCUGUGACACAAUAGUUAGAUGCACCAUGUGGUGUAAAUCUUGUGAACUGUGCUGUAAGUGAAAAGGUUCAUGAAGGAAACAACAUGGACAACAAAACCAGUAACCAGUAUUGUGUUAAAACAAAUUGAGAGAGCUGCUAUCAUUGUGCUUGCUCUGCUACCAGAUAACCAACAGUGGGAAUAAAUACAUCCUCAUAUUGAUGGUUUCAUCGUUGGUCAGACGAACAUGUUGUUCAUAACCAGGAAGCAGAAAUUUUAGCAAGAAAGCUAGUUAAUGGAUUUGUUUCAAGAUUGUGAGUGCUGAUGGAACUCUCAGAUCAGGAACAGAACUUUAAUUCAGCUUUCCAGAGAUGUGUCAAAUCCUUAGGAUAAAAAAAUAUGUAGGACAACAGCUUUUCAUCCACCUUCUGAUAGAAUAGUAGAAAGAUACAAUUAUACACUUUUAAAUCAUUUAGGCAUUUAUGUGGAUGAGCAUCAGAAAAUGUAGGAUAAUGACCUUCUGUUCCUACUCGUGAAUUAUCGAACAGCAAUAUAUGAAGCUACAAGCAACACACCAGCAUCACUAAGGUUUGGGAGAGAACUCAUAAUACAAUUACACUUUCUGUACUCACAUCCAGAGGACCAUAACUAAUUAGUCUUACACACAGCAUACAGAAUGACUAAGGAACAGCAUUGAUACCAUAUAUGACUUGACCCGAGAAAUUCUUAAAUCAGCUAGUGAUAAGAUGAAAAUUUGCUAUAACUUAAAUGUUGAUAAUACUAAAUUUUAUCAUGUUGAUGACAUGGUAUGGCUGUACAAUCCCUGCAGCAAGAGAGGACAGUCUCAAAAAUUUAUGUAGUUGCUGGGACGGGUCCUAUGCUGUAGUCAAAAUAAUCAAUAAUGUGGUUUAUAAAAUCCAGAAUGACAGUAAUCCAAGCCACAAAUCAUCCAUUGUGGCCAUCUUUAGAAGUACAUCAGAGAGAGAACAGCUAAAUGGUUAACUUUGGAGAAGGCUCCCAGUGGUAAGUCAGCCUGUUGAAGAGUCUGCAGUUGCUAUUGAAUCAACUGUCAGAGUAUCAUCAAAGAUAGAGCAACCGGGAGAUUCCAUGGAUGAACUAGCUGAACAGUCAUCCUUCAGUGACAACACGUCUAAUGUUGAUAAAGGGGAUGAGGCUGUCCUAUUUUCAUACCAAAAGCCACAGAAAAUAUAUCUACCCAAAACAUUUUGUGACCGGACUGUUUAGGGACUGUAAAUAGAUAGAAAAAUAUUUUGUUUUGUUAGUCAAUUUUUUAUUGUAAUUUGUUUCACAUAUUUAAUUAAUGGUUGUAAUAUCAAGGAAUGUUAAUGAUGGUAAUUUUCUUCAUUGUUAUUAUGGAAGUUUAAAUUUAGUGAUGUAAAUAUGUUGUGUAAUAGGAUUGUUUAAUUGACUUCACAGUCCAGUUUGGGGAGAGUGUUGUGGGUUUAUGUACCCAAUAUUUUAAUUUAGAUGUUAGUAAUGUUGUUUUGGUUAGAAAAUGUUCUUCUUUUGAUUUGAUGUGAUGAGCUUGUAUAUAAAAUUCUCUUUAAUUCUUGAUUUUGAACUAUGACUAGAGGGAAGGUAGCCAGUCAGCAGCAUUAAUGUUAAGGGAUUGACUGUCAUUUGAAUGGUAUAAUUCACCCACAGCUUAAAAUGUGAGGAAUAUAUUCUAGUGGUAUUGUACGAAUUUGGACCUGGCUCACUAGAGCUCUCCUACAGGCCAACUCUCACCAAACCCAGUUAAGCAAAUUUAUUUUGAAUCUGUAUUUCAACAUGCUAAGUAGUAGAGAUACACAAGUAAGUGUUUAGUUUUAUUUGUGAAUUAGGCCUAGUGAAUGUAACUUGUAUUGGAAAUAAUAAAAAACUUUUGUUAUCAAA